UAAGAAAACUAUUUACACAAGUUGACGUUUUAAAUCAUUGACAUUUUUUUAAACAUAUUUUGACAUGGCGUGAAGAAUGACGGGCUGCGGCUUCUCUAUG